CCCCCCCCCGGCCCCAAAUCUGCCCCUUUCGACCCCAAUUUUGGGUCAAUUUCCCCCAAUUUUGGGUCAAUUUCCCCCAAUUUUGUGCCAAUUUCCCCCAAUUUUGGGCCAUUUUUCCCCUAUUUUGGGUCAAUUUCCCCCAAUUUUGGGCGAAUUUCCCCCAAUUUUGGGUCAAUUUUCCCCCAAUUUUGGGCCAUUUUCCCCCAAUUUUGGGCCAAUUUCCCCCAAUUUUGGGCCAUUUUUCCCCUAUUUUGGGCCAUUUUCCCCCAAUUUUGGGUCAAUUUCCCCCAAUUUGGGGACAUUUUUCCUCAAUUUUGGGUCAAUUUCCCCCAGUUUUGGUUCCAUUUUCCCCAGUUUUGGGCCAUUUUUCCCCAAUUUUUUGUCAAUUUUCCCCCAUUUUGGGCCAUUGUUCCCCAAUUUUGGGUCAAUUUCCCCCAAUUUUGGGUCCAUUUCUCCCCAAUUUUGGGUCCAUUUCUCCCCAAUUUUGGGUCAAUUUCCCCCAAUUUUGGGCCAUUUUUCCUCAAUUUUGGGUCAAUUUCCCCCAGUUUUGGGCCAGUUUUCCCCAAUUUUGGGUCAAUUUCCCCCAGUUUUGGGUCAAUUUCCCCCAGUUUGGGGCCAUUUUUCCCCCAGUUUUGGGCCAAUUUUCCCCAGUUUUGGGUCAAUUUCCCCCAAUUUGGAUACAUUUUCCCCCAAUUUGGGGUCAAUUUCCCCCAAUUUUGGGCCAUUUUUCCCCUAUUUUGGCUCCAUUUCUCCCAUUUUUGGUUCAAUUUCCUUCCAAUUUUGGGUCCAUUCCCAAUUUUCCCCCAAUUUUGGGUCAAUUUUCCCCCAAUUUUGGGUCAAUUUUCCCCCAUUUUGGGCCAUUGUUCCCCAAUUUUGGGCCAAUUUCCCCAAUUUUGGGUCAAUUUCCCCCAAUUUUAGGCCAUUUUUCCCCAAUUUUGGGCCAUUUUUCCCCAAUUUUGGGCCAAUUUCCCCCAAUUUUAGGCCAUUUUUCCCCAAUUUUGGGUCAAUUUCCCCCAAUUUUGGGACAUUUUUCCUCAAUUUUGGGCCAAUUUUCCCCCAAUUUUGGGCCAAUUUUCCCCAAUCUUGGGCCAAUUUCCCCCAAUCUUGGGCCAUUUUUCCCCAAUUUUGGGUCAAUUUCCUACAAUUUUGGGCCAUUUUCCCCAAUUUUGGGUCAAUUUCCCCCAAUUUUGGGUCAAUUUCCCCCAAUUUUGGGCCAAUUUCCCCCAAUUUUGUGACAUUUUUCCCCUAUUUUGGGUCAAUUUCUCCCAAUUUUGGGCCAUUUCUCCCCAAUUUUGGGUCAAUUUCCCCCAAUUUUGUGCCAUUUUCCCCCUAUUUUGGCUCAAUUUCUCCCAUUUUUGGUUCAUUUUCCUCCCAAUUUUGGGUCCAUUCCCAAUUUUCCCCCCAUUUUUGGUUCCAUUUCCCCUGUUUUUGGGUCCAUUUCCCCCAUUUUGGUUCCAUUUCUCCCAAUUUUGGGCCGUUUUUUCCCAAUU
rnacentral:lncRNA from 1 species